UACGGGGGGGGCAAGCGUUGUUCGGAAUUACUGGGCGUAAAGGGCUCGUAGGCGGCCAACUAAGUCGAACGUGAAAUCCCUCAGCUUAACUGGGGAACUGCGUCCGAUACUGAUUGGCUUGAAUCCGGAAGAGGGAUGCGGAAUUCCAGGUGUAGCGGUGAAAUGCGUAGAUAUCUGGAGGAACACCGGUGGCGAAGGCGGCAUCCUGGGUCGAUAUUGACGCUGAGGAGCGAAAGCCAGGGGAGCAAACGGG
rnacentral:rRNA from 1 species